rnacentral:rRNA from 1 species
GACGAACGCUGGCGGCGUGCUUAACACAUGCAAGUCGAACGGAGAGGCCCUGCUUUUGUGGGGUGCUCGAGUGGCGAACGGGUGAGUAACACGUGAGUAACCUGCCCUUGACUUUGGGAUAACUUCAGGAAACUGGGGCUAAUACCGGGUAGGAGCUCCUGCUGCAUGGUGGGGGUUGGAAAGUUUCGGCGGUUGGGGAUGGACUCGCGGCUUAUCAGCUUGUUGGUGGGGUAGUGGCUUACCAAGGCUUUGACGGGUAGCCGGCCUGAGAGGGUGACCGGCCACAUUGGGACUGAGAUACGGCCCAGACUCCUACGGGAGGCAGCAGUGGGGAAUAUUGCACAGUGGGCGGAAGCCUGAUGCAGCAACGCCGCGUGCGGGAUGACGGCCUUCGGGUUGUGAACCGCUUUCGCCUGUGACGAAGCGUGAGUGACGGUAAUGGGUAAAGAAGCACCGGCUAACUACGUG